GGUGCCGUUUCCCGGUUCGCUCGGCCGCGGUCGCUAUGGAGGAGCCGGAGAUGCAGCUCAAGGGGAAGAAAGUCACGGACAAGUUCACUGAGAGCGUCUACGUCCUGGCCAACGAGCCAUCCGUGGCCCUGUACCGGCUGCAGGAGCAUGUGCGUCGCUCCCUCCCCGAGCUGGCCCAGCACAAGGCAGACAUGCAGCGUUGGGAGGAGCAGAGCCAGGGAGCCAUCUACACUGUGGAGUACGCCUGCAGCGCCGUGAAGAACCUGGUGGACAGCAGCGUCUACUUCCGCAGCGUGGAGGGUCUGCUCAAACAGGCCAUCAGCAUCCGGGACCAUAUGAAUGCCAGUGCCCAGGGCCACAGCCCGGAGGAACCACCCCCGCCCUCCUCAGCCUGAUCCUGGAAGAGACUCGGGGCCCCCCAGCCUCCGCCAACCCAGACAAAGAUCAUUCCACUCAGCCUGGGACGAUGGGGAGGAAAAAAAUCCAGAUCUCCCGCAUCCUGGACCAAAGGAAUCGGCAGGUGACGUUCACCAAGCGGAAGUUCGGGCUGAUGAAGAAGGCCUAUGAGCUGAGCGUGCUCUGUGACUGUGAGAUAGCCCUCAUCAUCUUCAACAGCGCCAACCGCCUCUUCCAGUAUGCCAGCACGGACAUGGACCGUGUGCUGCUGAAGUACACAGAGUACAGCGAGCCCCACGAGAGCCGCACCAACACUGACAUCCUCGAGACGCUGAAGCGGAGGGGCAUUGGCCUCGAUGGGCCAGAGCUGGAGCCGGAUGAAGGGCCUGAGGAGCCAGGAGAGAAGUUUCGGAGGCUGGCAGGCGAAGGGGGUGAUCCGGCCUUGCCCCGACCCCGGCUGUAUCCUGCAGCUCCUGCUAUGCCCAGCCCAGAUGUGGUAUACGGGGCCUUACCGCCACCAGGCUGUGACCCCAGUGGGCUUGGGGAAGCACUGCCCGCCCAGAGCCGCCCAUCUCCCUUCCGACCAGCAGCCCCCAAAGCCGGGCCCCCAGGCCUGGUGCACCCUCUCUUCUCACCAAGCCACCUCACCAGCAAGACACCACCCCCACUGUACCUGCCGACGGAAGGGCGGAGGUCAGACCUGCCUGGUGGCCUGGCUGGGCCCCGAGGGGGACUAAACACCUCCAGAAGCCUCUACAGUGGCCUGCAGAACCCCUGCUCCACUGCAACUCCCGGACCCCCACUGGGGAGCUUCCCCUUCCUCCCCGGAGGCCCCCCAGAAUAUGGCCUGGGAGACCCUCCACCGCCCCCUGGCUUGUUGCAGCCCCCCACCCUGGCCCCCUGGCAGCCCUCGAGGGGUGAUGGGCCCCCCGCCGUGUCCUCCCAGCCCAGUGGGGGCCGAAGCCUGGGCGAGGAGGGUCCCCCAACCCGCGGCGCCUCCCCGCCGACCCCCCCAGUCAGCAUCAAGUCUGAGCGCCUCUCUCCGGCCCCCGGGGGCCCCGGCGACUUUCCUAAGACCUUCCCCUAUCCCUUGCUCCUCGCCCGGUCCCUGGCAGAGCCUCUGCGGCCUGGGCCCGCCCUGCGCCGGCUGCCCUUGGCCGACGGCUGGCCCCGGUAGGAGAUCACCCGGUGGCACCAGCCCAGAGCGCUCGCCAGGUACGGCGAGGGCACGUGGGGACCCCACCUCCCUCCAGGCCUCUUCAGAGAAGACCCAACAGUGACGCCCCCCUCCGCGGUGGGGGCUUGGAGGUGGGCGGCUGGACUCAAUCCACCCUGGGGGGCUCCUUUCCUUCUUCCUAUUUGUGUGUAUAUCCACAAAUAAAACGCGCGUGGCGUCCGUGGACCAGA